GUAUUUGCUUUGGCAACACAUAUAUUAAAAUUGGGACAAUACAGAGAUUUGCAUGGCCCCUGUGCAAGUAUGGCAUGCAAAUUUGUGAAGUGUUCCAUAUUUUA